GGAUGAACGCUGGCGGCGUGCUUAACACAUGCAAGUCGAACGGGAUCCAUCGGGCUUUGCUUGGUGGUGAGAGUGGCGAACGGGUGAGUAAUGCGUGACCGACCUGCCCCAUGCACCGGAAUAGCUCCUGGAAACGGGUGGUAAUGCCGGAUGUUCCAGUUGAUCGCAUGGUCUUCUGGGAAAGCUUUCGCGGUAUGGGAUGGGGUCGCGUCCUAUCAGCUUGACGGCGGGGUAACGGCCCACCGUGGCUUCGACGGGUAGCCGGCCUGAGAGGGCGACCGGCCACAUUGGGACUGAGAUACGGCCCAGACUCCUACGGGAGGCAGCAGUGGGGAAUAUUGCACAAUGGGCGCAAGCCUGAUGCAGCGANGCCGCGUGAGGGAUGGAGGCCUUCGGGUUGUAAACCUCUUUUAUCGGGGAGCAAGCGUGAGUAG
rnacentral:rRNA from 1 species